AAAAAAAAGAGGAUUAUUUGUGGCAGGGAUUACUUCGUUUACGAAUUCGCAGGAGGCGAGGGCGGAACGGAAGGCUGGAAAUUGGACGGGGAAGAACUCGAAGGCGGCGGAGAGGAGAGCGGAGGCGGCCACCACUGAAGGAUCUCGGUCGCGUGGGCUUGGAGUGCUUGGAGGAGAGGGGGUUGGGCGGGUGAGAAGAAGGAAGUGAAGAACCGGAGAAAGGAGAAGGGGGUGAUCGAUCGCAUCCGCCAAUCCAGUGCUUCGAGCACCAGAAGCUCCAUUCUCCGGAUCGUUUGGGCGUCGAACACAAAAUCUUCCUCUCUCUGCAAAUUCGAUCCAAAUGAAACAGUGAAAUCGAUCCAUGUGACCUCGAUUUUUUUGAGAAAGAGGAACCUCUGUUUACCAGGAAAUCCGCUAGAGGUUUGCAGGUUUUCUUCAUCUUGGACGCGAGGGAUAGGCAGGAGAUGGAGAGGAGACGAACGAUCCACGGCUUCUCUAUCUGCAACAGGAGAUCGCUGCUUCUGUAUUAGAUCGACAAUCUGGAAUUAACCGAUUCGAUUGGUCA